rnacentral:tRNA from 1 species
GGCCCGUUAGCUCAGUCAGUUGAGUGUAGCACUAACAACGCUAAGGUCGCGGGUUCGAUUCCUGCUCGGUCCC